CGGAGGCAGCAGUAAGGAAUAUUGGACAAUGGGGGAAACCCUGAUCCAGCCAUGCCGCGUGUGUGAUGAAGGCCUUCGGGUUGUAAAGCACUUUCGCACGUGAAGAUGAUGACGGUAACGUGAGAAGAAGCCCCGGCUAACUUCGUGCCAGCAGCCGCGGUAAUACGAAGGGGGCAAGCGUUGUUCGGAAUAACUGGGCGUAAAGGGCGCGUAGGCGGUGCACUAAGUCAGGCGUGAAAGCCCUGGGCUCAACCCGGGAAUUGCGCUUGAUACUGGUGCGCUUGAAUCCAGGAGAGGUUGGUGGAAUUCCCAGUGUAGAGGUGAAAUUCGUAGAGAUUGGGAAGAACACCGGUGGCGAAGGCGGCCAACUGGACUGGUAUUGACGCUGAGGCGCGAAAGCGUGGGGAGCAAACAGGAUUAGAUACCCCGGUAGU
rnacentral:rRNA from 1 species